rnacentral:rRNA from 1 species
GCUCAGGACGUACGCUGGCGGCACCGUUAUACAUGCAAGUCGAACGAAGUAGCAAUACUUAGUGGCAGACGGGUGAGUAACAUGUAGGUAUCUUCCCUUUGGUGAGGAAUGACACGAGGAAACUUGUGCUAAUACCUCAUAAGUCUUUACGGAGAAAGCUUUAUGCGCCGAAGGAUGAGCCUGCACUUGAUUAGUUUGUUGGUGGGGUAAUGGCCUACCAAGACUUUGAUCUAUAGCUGAUCUGAGAGGAUGAUCAGCCACAUUGGGACUGAGACACGGCCCAAACUCCUACGGGAGGCAGCAGUAGGAAACAUUGCACAAUGGAGGAAACUCUGAUGCAGGGAUGCCGCGUGAGUGAAGGAAGGCCUUUGGGUUGUAAAGCUCUUUCGUCGGGGAAGAAAAUGACUGUACCCGAAUAAGAAGGUCCGGCUAACUUCGUGCCAGCAGCCGCGGUAAUACGAAGGGACCUAGCGUAGUUCGGAAUUACUGGGCUUAAAGAGUUCGUAGGUGGUUAAAAAAGUUGGUGGUGAAAUCCCAGAGCUUAACUCUGGAACUGCCAUCAAAACUUUUUAGCUAGAGUAUGAUAGAGGAAAGCAGAAUUUCUAGUGUAGAGGUGAAAUUCGUAGAUAUUAGAAAGAAUACCAAUUGCGAAGGCAGCUUUCUGGAUCAUUACUGACGCUGAGGAACGAAAGCAUGGGUAGCGAAGAGGAUUAGAUACCCUCGUAGUCCAUGCCGUAAACGAUGUGUGUUAGACGUUGGAAAUUUAUUUUCAGUGUCGCAGCGAAANAUUAAACACACCGCCUGGGGAGUACGACCGCAAGUUAAAACUCAAAUGAAUUGACGGGGACCCGCACAAGUAGUGGAGCAUGUGGUUUAAUUCGAAGAUACGCGCAGAACCUUCACUUGACAUGUUCGUCGCGACUCUAAGAGAUUAGAGUUUUCGGUUCGGCCGGACGAAACACAGGUGCUGCAUGGCUGUCGUCAGCUCGUGUCGUGAGAUGUUGGGUUAAGUCCCACAACGAGCACAACCCUCACUUUUAGUUGCCAUCAUUUAGUUGGGCACUCUGAAAGAACUGCCAGUGAUAAGCUGGAGGAAGGUGUGGCUGG